CCUACGGGCGGCAGCAGUGGGGAAUAUUGCACAAUGGGCGCAAGCCUGAUGCAGCCAUGCCGCGUGUGUGAAGAAGGCCUUCGGGUUGUAAAGCACUUUCAGCGGGGAGGAAGGCGGUGAGGUUAAUAACCUCAUCGAUUGACGUUACCCGCAGAAGAAGCACCGGCUAACUCCGUGCCAGCAGCCGCGGUAAUACGGAGGGUGCAAGCGUUAAUCGGAAUUACUGGGCGUAAAGCGCACGCAGGCGGUCUGUCAAGUCGGAUGUGAAAUCCCCGGGCUCAACCUGGGAACUGCAUUCGAACUGGCAGGCUAGGGGCUUGGAGGGGGGGGUAGAAUUCCAGGUGUAGCGGUGAAAAGCGUAGGGGUCUGGGGGAAUACCGGUGGCGGAGGCGGCCCCCUGGACAAAGACUGACGCUCAAGUGCGGAAGCGUGGGGAGCAAACCGGGUUAGAUACCCUAGUAGUC
rnacentral:rRNA from 1 species